rnacentral:rRNA from 1 species
UACGGGGGGGGCAAGCGUUGUUCGGAAUUACUGGGCGUAAAGGGUCUGUAGGUGGCUUGCUAAGUCAGACGUGAAAUCCCUCGGCUUAACCGGGGAACUGCGUCUGAUACUGGCGAGCUUGAGUGCAGGAGAGGAACGCGGAAUUCCAGGUGUAGCGGUGAAAUGCGUAGAUAUCAGGAGGAACACCGGUGGCGAAGGCGCCACUCUGGGCCGAAACUGACGCUGAGGAGCGAAAGCGUGGGUAGCAAACAGG